AGAAUUUAAGUUUCCUGAAUGCAACAGCUUUGUCUGUCUUGCUCACUACUGGAUUCCUAAUGGCUAGAACAGUGCCUACCAGGUAGUAGGAUUAUUCUCCCAGGACUGCAACUUCAACUGCAAGGAGGUGGGGACAAACACUGCCAGAUUCAAGUGCCACUAUUCACCCUUCACCCAUUUUUGCAACUCCUUUCUUCCCAUUCCAACAGUGAUAUGUUCAAAAGGCAAUGAGCAUUUCCCCCUGUUUAUCCCUCAAGGGAUCCAUGGAGACAUCAUUUCCUGGCUUGGUGAGAGAGGAUGUUGCUAACCACCUGAUAUCUCACAGCCCGGUGUCAAGACUAACAGGACAGCUGGUUUGUGUCACUGACAAAAAUGAAAGACUUUGCUUGCAUUUAAAUGCCUUUGUCUGUGCAGCCUCUUAAAUCAGUCUUGCUAUCUUCACCUUCCCCAAUUCCUUCAAAAGCUCUGCUCCUCUCCUAGGCUGUGAAUUACCCUGGGUACUAAUCUUAAUAAUUCAGCUCCCAGAGCUUUUCACUGUGGCCGCCUGAGAGUCCUGUGGCAACUUCUUCCUUAGCUCCGGGGUAUGAUGGCUUUGAACUUGGUAGGACUCUGUGGACUGCCUUCUGUUUGCCUGUCUCUGUCGUGGGGCUGGAGUGGCAUGGGGAGCAAUGCUUCCUGAUUAGGAUCUGAGAAUGGUGUGCUGCUGAAUUUCUCCACUGUUUUACAUCAUGCCAGGAGAUCCUGAAAAAAAAAGAAAGAUGAUUUUGUGCCAGCCAAUACCAGGACUCUGGGGGAUAGUGGUCUCUUGGCUUUCCUGGAGUUCUUAGUCCCACCUCUAAAUUCUGCUAGCAGUUAAUACACAGCUACUCCAUCUUCCUAAAAAUAGCUGCUUGACAUACUUCACAUCAGGAGGCUGGAUAAUGGGAGAAGACAAGAAUACUUGCCUAAAUGAACCAAAUGAAGAAGAGGAGGAGAAAAAGGAGGAGGGAGCGGAAGGUGGAGGAGAAGGAAGAGGGGAAGUCAUUUGGAGAUGAUUCCAGAGUUCUCAGAGCAUAAUCUGUGGGCCGUUCUCAGAAUUACCAAGGGCCCUAGUUUAAAAGAAGACAAAUUCCUAGGCCUUAAUCAGUAUCUCCACGGGUAGGAUCUGGGAAUUUGUAAUCUACAGGGAUCUUUGCUUUUGUUUUUUGCUUGAAUUUUGACAUGAACAAAAUCCAGGAAUCACUUCUUUAAUCCAAGGGACUCAGAGCUCUGUUGUUCUCCCUGUAAAAGACAAAAUGUAGCAGAUUUUUUUUUCUUUUUCUUUUUUAGCACUUGAAUCAUCAGGCAAGAACUGUGGGUGUUGCUUAGCUCCAAGUAUCCUGAAAUAUUGAAGAAAUAUGUAUGUGCAAAUAUUGUAAGGGAAAAGUUUCUGCAUUGCUGUGCCACAGUCAGACAUCGUAAAAGAUACCAGCAUAGUGCGUCAGUGAAGAACAAGAAUUAGGAACCUCAUCUGCUGGUAGCUUAAGAUCAGACAGAUCUUUGCUGGAUAUGACCACAAGUGGCCUUGACUUCUAAAAAAAGUUACUGGAUCUUUAAGAAAACAAGAUACUUAUUGAAUCCAGGAGGUUGCCGUGUCUCAGC